GACGAACGCUGGCGGCGUGCCUAACACAUGCAAGUCGAACGGAGUUGACCUUCGGGUUAACUUAGUGGCGAACGGGUGAGUAACGCGUGAGAAACCUGCCUCUCAGUGGGGGACAACAGUUGGAAACGACUGCUAAUACCGCAUGACACUUUAGUACCGCAUGGUACAGAAGUCAAAGCUUUAUGUGCUGAGAGAUGGUCUCGCGUCUGAUUAGCUAGAUGGCGGGGUAACGGCCCACCAUGGCGACGAUCAGUCGCCGGGCUGAGAGGAUGAACGGCCACAUUGGGACUUAGAUACGGCCCAGACUCCUACGGGAGGCAGCAGUGGGGAAUAUUGGGCAAUGGGGGAAACCCUGACCCAGCAACGCCGCGUGAAGGAAGAAGGCCUUCGGGUUGUAAACUUCUUUUACCAGGGACGAAGAACGUGACGGUACCUGGAGAAAAAGCAACGGCUAACUACGUGCCAGCCGCCGCCGUAAUAC
rnacentral:rRNA from 1 species